rnacentral:rRNA from 1 species
UACGUAGGGGGCAAGCGUUAUUCGGAAUUACUGGGUGUAAAGGGUGCGUAGGUGGUAUGGCAAGUCAGAAGUGAAAACCCAGGGCUUAACUCUGGGACUGCUUUUGAAACUGUCAGACUAGAGUGCAGGAGAGGUAAGCGGAAUUCCUAGUGUAGCGGUGAAAUGCGUAGAUAUUAGGAGGAACAUCAGUGGCGAAGGCGGCUUACUGGACUGAAACUGACACUGAGGCACGAAAGCGUGGGGAGCAAACAGG